rnacentral:rRNA from 1 species
AUGGGUAUUGUGAAACUAAAUGUUGAUGUUUCCUUUGAUCACGAUCUGCUUAGGAUCACGGCAGGGGCUGUCCUCAGAGAUGACAAAGGAAGGUUCAUUGUUGGCGGAAAUUGGAGGAUUGAUUGGUGUGUUGAUGUAUUAACAGCAGAAGCACUAGCUCUAAGGUUUGGCUUAAUCCUUGCAGAGAAGGCUGGUUGCAAUCGCCUUAUUGUCAACUUUGAUAAUAUGGAAGUGAUCGACACAAUGAAAAAUGGAGGACAAUCAGCGGGUGCGGUAGCGGCAGUGUUCGACGAUUGCUAUUUUAUGGCAUGUGAUUUUUCUGUUACUAUGUUUGAACAUUGUAAUAGGGAAGCAAAUAAGGUUGCUCAUGAACUUGCUAGACUAGCAAAAUUUUCAAAGACUAGGGAUUGAUGUGAGGAGCCUAUGGAGGAUAUUGUAUCUUUCCUUAUUGAUGUUGUAACUCUUAUUUCCAAUUAA